AAAUUGAAUAGUUUGAUCAUGGCUCAGAUUGAACGCUGGCGGCAGGCCUAACACAUGCAAGUCGAACGGUAACAGGAAACAGCUUGCUGUUU
rnacentral:rRNA from 1 species